UACAGAGGUGGCAAGCGUUGUUCGGAAUUACUGGGCGUAAAGGGCGCGUAGGCGGUCUUCUAAGUCUUGUGUGAAAUCCUUCGGCUCAACUGAGGAACUGCACGGGAUACUGGAAGACUUGAGUUCGGGAGAGGGAAGCGGAAUUCCGGGUGUAGCGGUGAAAUGCGUAGAUAUCCGGAGGAACACCGGUGGCGAAGGCGGCUUCCUGGACCGAUUACUGACGCUGAGGCGCGAAAGCUAGGGGAGCAAACGGG
rnacentral:rRNA from 1 species